GUCUAAGGCCAUAUCAUCUUGAACGUGUCCAGUCUCGUCUGAUCUCAGAAGCUAAGCAGGGUUGGGCCUGCUCAGUGCUUGGAAG
rnacentral:rRNA from 1 species